AAUUAAUACCUCAUAGUAUGUGAGGAUGGCAUCUAUUUUCACAUUAAAGUCACAACGGACAAAAGAUGAGCAUGCGUCCCAUUAGCUAGUUGGUAAGGUAACGGCUUACCAAGGCUACGAUGGGUAGGGGUCCUGAGAGGGAGACUCCCCCACACUGGUACUGAGACACGGACCAGACUCCUACGGGAGGCAGCAGUGAGGAAUAUUGGACAAUGGGCGCAAGCCUGAUCCAGCCAUGCCGCGUGCAGGAUGACGGUCCUAUGGAUUGUAAACUGCUUUUGUACAGGAAGAAACACUACUUCGUGAAGUAGCUUGACGGUACUGUAAGAAUAAGGAUCGGCUAACUCCGUG
rnacentral:rRNA from 1 species